rnacentral:lncRNA from 1 species
AAUGGCAUUGGCCAUUGUUUUGAUUUCAACUAGUGUGGUUUCUGCUGCUGCAGAUAGUUAUAUUUACUCUUCUCCUCCACCACCUUACGAGUAUAAGUCGCCACCGCCACCAUCACCUUCACCACCACCUCCUUAUGUUUACAAAUCGCCACCUCCUCCAUCCCCAUCACCUCCACCACCUUAUGAGCACAAGGCUCCUGCUUAUGAGUACAAGUCACCACCACCACCAACUCCUUCACCACCACCUCCUUAUGUGUACAAGUCACCACCACCGCCAUCUCCUUCACCACCACCUCCUUAUGUGUACAAGUCACCACCACCACCCUCACCUUCCCCACCACCACCAUACUACUACAAGAGUCCUCCACCACCUUCUCCUUCACCUCCACCUCCUUACUACUACAAAUCUCCUCCACCACCCUCACCUUCCCCACCACCACCAUACUAUUACAAGUCUCCUCCACCACCAUCUCCCUCACCUCCACCACCAUAUUACUACAAGUCUCCCCCACCACCCUCACCCUCCCCUCCACCCCCAUAUAUACACAAGGAUCCACCAUACUAUUACAAGUCCCCACCACCACCUUCACCAUCUCCUCCACCACCAUACUACUACAAAUCUCCCCCACCCCCUUCACCGUCUCCUCCACCACCAUACUACUACAAAUCUCCUCCUCCUCCAUCUCCUAUUCCCAAAACACCUUACUACUACAAAUCUCCCCCACCCCCUUCACCAUCUCCUCCACCACCAUACUACUACAAAUCUCCCCCACCCCCUUCACCGUCUCCUCCACCACCAUACUACUAUAAAUCUCCCCCACCACCGUCACCCUCUCCACCACCACCUUACUAUUACAAGUCUCCUCCCCCACCUUCACCAUCUCCUCCACCACCAUACUACUACAAAUCUCCUCCUCCUCCAUCUCCUAUUCCCCAUACACCUUACUAUUACAAAUCUCCCCCACCACCUUCACCAUCUCCUCCACCACCAUACUACUACAAAUCUCCUCCUCCUCCAUCUCCUAUUCCCCGUACACCUUACUAUUACAAAUCUCCCCCACCACCUUCACCAUCUCCUCCACCACCAUACUACUACAAAUCCCCUCCUCAUCCAUCUCCCAUUCCCCAUACACCUUACUAUUACACAUCUCCCCCACCACCUUCACCGUCUCCUCCACCACCAUAUUACUACAAAUCUCCUCCCCCUCCGUCUCCUAUUCCCCACACACCUUACUACUACAAGUCCCCACCACCACCAAAGGUCCUUCCACCACCAUACUAUUACAAUUCUCCUCCUCCACCUGUUGUGUAUCCUCACCCAUAUCCCUACCACCACUCACUUAUUGUGAGGGUAGUCGGUAAAGUCUACAGCUUCAGAUGUUAUGAUUGGAAUUAUCCUGCAAAGUCUCAUAACAAGAAACAUCUCAAAGGUACAUUACAUUUCUUAGGACCGGACCUCUUUAGAGUAAUGUGUUUAGAGAUAAUGCACAAUUUUUUAUUUUUUUAUCUCGUAAAGGUUUAUUUAUUAUAAUCACAAUUUCACUUUUGUCAAAAAGAAAAACAAUUUUACUAUAUAUAGUUUUAAUCAUUAACAUUUUGAUGUAAAAAGAAUACAAUUCUCUAUUACCUUUUUACUAUGAUAUAUAUACAAAGAUUAUUCAAAUCUAUAUAUCCAACCUAAUUUCCAUCCAAAAAAAUAGAAAACAUAGGGUGCUUUGAACGCCUGCAGCAUCACAUGAAUAAAUAAAAACAAUCAAUAAUCAACCUUGUUCUAAUUUAUUUUAGACAGCGAUUGUUAAGCAUACUGCUCUUUUAAUUACAUUUUUUUUAAAGAUGCUCUUUUAAUUAUAUUGUCCUAAUAUAAUAUGUGUCUUUAUAUAUUACUUGUCGUAAACUAAUUUUAUUAUGGGUGCAGGAGCUGUUGUUGAGGUGACAUGCAAAGCCGGGAGCAAAAUUGUCAAGGCUUAUGGAAAAACUAAGAACAAUGGAAAGUAUGCCAUCACAGUUAAGGACUUUGACUAUGUCAAAUAUGGUUCGACAGUGUGCAAGGCUGCCCUAUAUGCUCCACCUAAGGGUUCACCCUUCAACAUACCUACAAAGCUAAAUCAAGGAACAAAGUUGUACUUGAAAUCCAAAGACAAGUACGAGGUUGUGCUCAAGGCUAAGCCAUUUGCUUAUGCUUCAAAGAAACAUUUCAAAGAAUGUGAGAAGCCUAAGCCUUCACCAACUCCUUACUACUACAAAUCACCUCCACCUCCCUCACCAGUUUACAAAUACAACUCACCACCUCCACCGGUCCAUUAUUAUUCACCUCCAUACACCUACAAGUCACCUCCUCCCCCUGUGAAAGCGGCACCAACUCCUUACUACUACAAAUCACCUCCACCACCCGCACCGGUUUACAAGUACAACUCACCCCCUCCACCGGUCCAUUAUUAUUCACCACCAUAUACCUAUAAGUCACCUCCUCCCCCUGUGAAAGCGGCACCAACUCCUUACUACUACAAAUCACCUCCACCUCCCGCACCGGUUUACAAGUACAACUCCCCACCUCCACCGGUCCAUUAUUAUUCACCUCCAUAUACCUACAAGUCACCUCCUCCCCCUGUGAAAGUGGCACCAACUCCUUACUACUACAAAUCACCUCCACCACCCGCACCGGUUUACAAGUACAACUCACCACCUCCACCGGUCCAUUAUUAUUCUCCACCAUACUACUACAAGUCACCACCCCCACCAUCUCCAUCACCUCCUCCACCAUACUAUUUCAAAUACUAUUACAAGUCCCCACCUCCACCAUCACCAUCCCCUCCUCCACCUUAUUAUUACAAAUCUCCUCCUCCACCAAAACAAAUUUCACACCCUCCAUACUACUAUAAGUCACCACCCCCACCAUCACCAUCACCUCCUCCACCAUACUAUUAUAAGUCUCCACCUCCACCAUCACCAUCUCCCCCACCACCUUAUUAUUAUAAGUCACCACCCCCACCAUCCCCGUCCCCUCCUCCACCAUACUACUACAAGUCUCCACCUCCACCUAAAGAAAUAUCACAUCCUCCAUAUAACUAUAAGUCACCACCCCCACCAUCACCAUCCCCUCCCCCUCCAUACUAUUACAAAUCUCCUCCACCACCAUCACCAUCACCACCACCUCCCUACUAUUACAAAUCACCUCCACCACCAUCACCAUCACCUCCCCCUCCAUACUAUUACAAAUCUCCUCCACCACCAUCACCAUCACCACCACCUCCUUACUAUUACAAAUCACCUCCACCACCAUCCCCAUCACCACCACCUCCAUACUACUACAAAAGUCCCCCUCCACCAUCUCCAUCUCCUCCAUCCCCAUAUUACUACAAAUCUCCACCACCACCAUCACCAUCCCCACCCCCUCCCUACUAUUACAAAUCACCUCCACCUCCCUCACCAUCACCGCCACCUCCUUACUAUUACAAAUCACCUCCACCUCCCUCACCAUCACCGCCACCUCCUUACUAUUACAAAUCUCCCCCACCUCCAUCUCCAUCUCCACCACCUCCUUACCACUAUCAAAGUCCUCCUCCACCAUCUCCCAUUUCUCAUCCUCCCUACUACUACAAAUCCCCUCCACCACCAUCGCCGUCUCCUCCACCUCCUUACCACUAUGUGAGUCCUCCCCCACCAGUAAAGUCACCUCCACCACCAACUUAUAUCUAUGCUUCACCACCACCACCUCACUACAACUAAGCUCAAAGAGCAGAAGCUCCGUUCAUUAUAAAUCAUGUAAGUUUAUCAUCUUCAAUUUUCUGAAUGUGUGCGUGUGUAUUUGUUUUUUUGUUACAAGAUACUAACAAAAUUCUUUUCUUAUUUAUGUUCAGGUUUUAGUUUUCAUCUAGGAAUAAAGGCAAGCUCCAUUUGGAGUAAAGUGAAACUUCUAGCUUCGUGUCCGAAUUCGUUAAAUAAAUGUCGGGAUGUAUCGUCUUUGAGCUAUAAUAUUUCUGAUCCAGACAAUAUCUAUUUUGUUUCUUUGGUGGCAAUCUUGCACUUCCUGGUCUUAGUCUAUUCAAGUGACAGACAAAUCAAAAGGGAGAAGCGAGAUUAAUUUAUUUGUGAUCUCUUUGAUUUAUUUGUGCAUAUAUCAAUAUGAACGUGUAUGAUAUUUUUCUAUUUAUUGAAGAUUUUUUUACUGUAACCUGUUAUUGUGUUUGUCAAAAGGUGUUAAUAAAGAAUCACAUUCAAUUUCUGUUAAAUUAUCAGUAUUUGUUUCUUUCUAACAACUACCAUUCAUGCAAAUGUGGCUAUUAAAAAAAGCUCCAAUGACACAUAAAAAGCUUCCAAACAAUAUAUAAACAAAGAUGCAUUGUUUUCUGUUAAGAAGGGGACAGGGUUACGGUUACUUGUGUACCAAGUUAGUUAUCCAUGCUUUCUUGUUCAUAGGAUUUAUAUGGUGUAGUUGCACUUAGUUGCUAAAUGUAUGCAAGCUUUUCCUUUCUAUAAAUAAGCACACCUACUAUCAUUCUUCUCCACAUUCCUUUCUACUCUUCUAUCAUGAAUUGUUCAUCCACAUAAGAUGGUCACAGAGCACACCUAAUACUCUGCUACUGGUGUAUCAGUUCCUUUCCACCAGAAACUUAUGAUCUCUAAUUGAAAGAGAUCCUAAAGUUUUAAGAUUUCUACAAAAUACAUUAUUCUCAUUUUUGUACAAGUAUGAUACAAUUAUUCCCAAGUAUUAUUUAUUCUAAGGAAUAGAAUUUAGUUGUGGUUUCUCUAUUUAACCAACAUUUAUUUUUAAAUAACUAAAUUUAAAAAAAAAAUCCUGAAAUUAUUAAGUACAUACCUAACACAUUGUAAAAUUUUGUUCCCAAAGAAAAUAUUUUUGGCAAUAGAAUUUUCAGGAACUUCAUUCCUAGGAAUAUAAUUCUAUACUAAGAGAAGAGCUUAAGCAUUGAUACAUAACAAGACCAAUCCAUAUCCUAAUCACAAUCCUACUUUCACUAAAUACUUUCACUUAAGUGUGGUCUUGGAAAGGACAAAUGAAGAAAGACAUUCCAGAGGUAUGGUAAGGGACAAUAUCUGCAGUUAUGCACAUAUUGCAAGAUUGUGAGGAACUACCGGACUGAUUUGAUUCACCAAAAAAUUUGGAAUAAAUAUUUCAGCCCAGAACUCAGACAAUGACUGGAUUGGAACCUUUCAGCUUCUAAUAUCGGUACUGUCCAAGGAAAUAGUCAUUCUCUUUUUGGAGUAGCUGUGAAGGAUUUAUGGAAAGAUAGAACUAAGCUGGUCUUUUCUAGAAACACCGCGAUUGGAACUACUCUAUUUUGGCUUGUAGCCAAUCCGGCUAAGUUUAUUAACAAUGUAGUUUGUACUCAAGCUCACAGUCACGAUGUUGUCAGCAACAGUGGGCAUAUUGUUUAGGUAGCCUGGAAUUUUCCUCCCCAACACUUCUUCAAAGUGAAUAUGAUGGAUCUCUACGGGAUUAUGUUAGUUUCCAGGAUCGAACUCAGAACCUCCUGAUUAUAACUCCUUCAAUGUAUGUCCCUUACCCACGUGGGGCCUCGGCUGUAAUUGUUAACAUGGUAAAAUUUGGCUCUUCCAAUAAUGGUUUUAUCCAAACUCGAGGUUGUUUAUCGUCUCCAACAAUCAGAUUGGAGAAUACUAGUGGUUCAUGCAUUUGAACAAACCAACUGUUGUGCAGAUUUUCUAGUUGAUUUUGUUUUUCCUUUUUUGAGUAUUUUAUUAGCCAAUGAUAUAAGAGGUUGUAGCCUACCUCUUUUGAUUUCUUAAGACAAUCACUUUUGCAUUAGAAAAAAACGACCCUACAUAAAAUUAAUGAUUGAAUUAAGAUAUAACUUCAGUUUGAAAUAUUGUAAAAUUCUAUACCACCAAAAACUGAGAAUUUUAGAACCAUACAGGUUGGUGGAGUGGUCAUCCAGAUAACUUUAACAUAAUUAACAGUCCAAAAAGUAAAUAGCUUUAUCCUUUAUUUUCAAUCUGAUGUGAUUUACUCUUAUCUGUUAAACAUUAUAAUUAAGAAUCCAAAGGGAACACUCACCUAAUCUCUCUCUUUUUUCUAGCUUUUUCACUAAACCACUGUGUCUGUGGUUACCACAUUUCCUUAUGGAAUCAAUAUCCAAUUUAUGUUAAAAACCAUUUCUACAUUUUGUGUUAAAAAUGAUCUAAACAAAGAUGAUUUAUUUCUCUUAAAUUCAACAUAGAUCAUAUUUACAUGGUUCAAACUUUCUAUUACACGGCAUUGACUUAGUUGCUUCACAUGGGGACACAACUAAUGCAUAUAUUAUUUUAUAUGCUUAUAGUAAUUUUAACAAGUGGCAAUGGGGCAUAUGUUUUGUCAAAAAAACACAAAAAACAGGAGGCAUGUGCAACUGAAGUCACUGCCAGCUUGGCACUAAGAUAUAGUAAAAUAAUUGACAUUUGAAGAAAACAAAGACGUUGCUACAUUUCUAUUCAAACAAGCGACAUCAAUAUCAGACAAUGGUGCUACAUUUAAUAAUACUACAGCUAUCCCCAUAAGCACCUCUUAGAAAGAAAAAAAAAUAUCCAUUAAAUUAAUGUUGGAAGAGUUAGCAACAUGUCCUCUCCCAAAAAAACUCAUGUUUGAUUCCUAGAGUCGUCCAUUUCGAAAGAAGCUCAACCCUGAUAAUAAAAACCUAGAUGUUAUGCUGCAGACUUAAAGAUCAAUUUCAUAAUGGAUCCAAAGGGCCUAAGCUGUGUGGGAUACUUAAGGGGGUAUAUUGAGGCUAAGGGUCAAAGAUCUUAAUUAUGGUCGGUUAAAAAAAGAAGAAAAAAAAAUUAUCUCUAAAUAUAAAGUCAACAAUAUUUCAAAUUGCAAGAUACAUUUAUUUAUUUUUUAAAUAUGUAUAUACCUCUUAUUAAUACUUACUAAUUUGUUUUGAGUGAUAAAAAGUUACGAGUUAGACAGAUCAGCACAUAAAAAAAGUAUUUGAAAAACAUCUACCAACAAAAUAAACACAUUAAAAACAAUACUACUUUUUUACAAUACUGUAUGUGAAAAUGACAAAAUCUUGAAAAAGAUGGAGGUAACAUGUACUCUUUUUUUUUUAGAGGGGAGCAUGUACUUUUCCACUAACAAUGUUGAUAAGAAACAUAUAAAAUACUAUUAGAGAAAGAAAAAAAAUAAUAAAUAAAGAAAUAUAUAAAAUACUGAGGAAUGACUCACUCAUGUCAAAUUUUAGCAAGGGAGAAGUGAUAUCACAUCAUUUUAGAAGAGGAAUGAGAAUAGAUAGAUCUAAUUUUUCUAGUAAGUUUGAAUAGUAGAAUCAUACUUCUUUGUCUUUUGUGAAAAUUUCAUAUUAUGGGAUCUAUUACUAGAAUACAGGUGAUUUUAUUCUGGAAGAUUGACUUUUUAUUAAAAUAAAAUAAAAGUACAUUUUUUAUUUCCAAAUGCUUAGUUGUUCAUUUAUAAAUAUUACAUUAUCCAACAGCACCAAACCCUAUUUCAUAACGGUACUCUGCACGUUUCAUUCAUUUACUGGUGCCUUAGUUUUUUGUUACAAACAGACAUUGAUCAGAGGAACAAAUGUAGAGACAAAUUGAAGAUAAUAUAUCACAUAAUAUUGUAGACACACCUUCACAUACAAAUGGGGUAAAGUCCCUCAUAGUAGUAUUAGAAAUAACACUUAGAGUAAAAUUUUGCUAAAUUUAACAUGAAAAUAAGUGUAAUGUAUUUUAUAGGCAGCUAUACAUAAUUAUUAAUUAGAACAAUUUUUUACACUGUCAAACAAAAAUUGAACAAUUUUUUACUAGCUUUAUGCUUUAUGAUGUUUUGAUUCCAUGUGCACAUUUCAAUUUUAGAACUAUUCCUUUCUAUGUUACUGAAAUAAUUCUAUCAUUAGGCAUUGACAUUUCCAUUAUGCGUGCACGUUAAAGUGUUUUCCCAAACAGAGAAAUAUUAAGAAAGGUUAAACUUUUGACUUAAAGACACAACUAAAAUAAGAUCCAAGGAAAACCCCAUUGAUUAUUUCUUGCACAAAAUUAAAAACCCCAUUGAUUAUUUCUUGCACAAAAUUAAAAUGCUAAUAAUUUUUCCUGGUCUAUAUUUUUCUCCUUCCGGGAAAUGGCAACAUCACAUGUUCAUCUCAUAAUUGAGAAAACACAUGUCUGGGAAAAUAUCUUAAAGAAAAGGCAGUAAAGUAAUAAAAAGUGCACCAAAUAGAGAUUAACUAGUACUCUUUGCAUGUCAACUAAGUGGUAUAAUUAUGUAUAUCACAUUCUUAAUAUUGAUUAUCUUGAUUGCACGAUAAGCCCCUCAAAUUGCUCAAUCGAUGAUUGCUUGAUAAGCCCAUCAAAUUGCCCAAUCGAUCGAAUCGUAACUUUCGAUAGACAUUUUUUUUAAGAAAACCCAAUUGGAUCAUAACUCCCCAUAGUCAUUUAUUUGAAAUUGUGAGCAAUUUGAUAACUUAUUGAGCAAUCACCAUUGAUUUUAGUCUCAAUUUAUCCUAAUGUUGUAACCCUGGAAUAAUGGAACAGUGAGUAAAUUUGGUUUCUCCGUCUCAAAAUAAGUGUCACAAUUUAACCAUGUGCACUACUCAUCAAAUCUACUUUGACAACAUUUUUUUUACUAAUAUAUAAAGACAAUGUUAGUACAUUACAUGUUCGAUUUGUCUUAGUUAAUGUUUUUAAAAUAUCGACUUUAUUAUAAUUUUUCUUAAUAGACAAUCAAAAAUAUCAAUUGUCAAAAUUGUGUAUUGAUAUGUAUGAAAAUCAAACUAUAACACUUACUUUGAGACGAAGAGAAUAACUAUUAAAAACUAAUGUUCAAAUAGAAAGAAAAGAAAACAAAGAUUCCAUACAAAGCUUGCAAAAUAGCUACAAUCAUAACCUAGAACAAAAAUCAUGACCACACACUAUAUCCAUUUUCCUUUUCCUAAAAAGCAAUUGAAGAUAAAAAAAAAAAAAAUAAUAAAUAAAAAAAAAAAAAAAAAAAAAAAAAANACCACCAUACUACUACAAAUCCCCACCUCCACCAUCGCCUUCUCCUCCACCACCAUACUACUACAAAUCCCCACCUCCACCAUCGCCUUCUCCUCCACCACCAUACUACUACAAAUCCCCACCUCCACCAUCGCCUUCUCCUCCACCACCAUACUACUACAAAUCCCCACCUCCACCAUCGCCUUCUCCUCCACCACCAUACUACUACAAAUCCCCACCUCCACCAUCGCCUUCUCCUCCACCACCAUACUACUACAAAUCCCCACCUCCACCAUCGCCUUCUCCUCCACCACCAUACUACUACAAAUCCCCACCUCCACCAUCGCCUUCUCCUCCACCACCAUACUACUACAAAUCCCCACCUCCACCAUCGCCUUCUCCUCCACCACCAUACUACUACAAAUCCCCACCUCCACCAUCGCCUUCUCCUCCACCACCAUACUACUACAAAUCCCCACCUCCACCAUCGCCUUCUCCUCCACCACCAUACUACUACAAAUCCCCACCUCCACCAUCGCCUUCUCCUCCACCACCAUACUACUACAAAUCCCCACCUCCACCAUCGCCUUCUCCUCCACCACCAUACUACUACAAAUCCCCACCUCCACCAUCGCCUUCUCCUCCACCACCAUACUACUACAAAUCCCCACCUCCACCAUCGCCUUCUCCUCCACCACCAUACUACUACAAAUCCCCACCUCCACCAUCGCCUUCUCCUCCACCACCAUACUACUACAAAUCCCCACCUCCACCAUCGCCUUCUCCUCCACCACCAUACUACUACAAAUCCCCACCUCCACCAUCGCCUUCUCCUCCACCACCAUACUACUACAAAUCCCCACCUCCACCAUCGCCUUCUCCUCCACCACCAUACUACUACAAAUCCCCACCUCCACCAUCGCCUUCUCCUCCACCACCAUACUACUACAAAUCCCCACCUCCACCAUCGCCUUCUCCUCCACCACCAUACUACUACAAAUCCCCACCUCCACCAUCGCCUUCUCCUCCACCACCAUACUACUACAAAUCCCCACCUCCACCAUCGCCUUCUCCUCCACCACCAUACUACUACAAAUCCCCACCUCCACCAUCGCCUUCUCCUCCACCACCAUACUACUACAAAUCCCCACCUCCACCAUCGCCUUCUCCUCCACCACCAUACUACUACAAAUCCCCACCUCCACCAUCGCCUUCUCCUCCACCACCAUACUACUACAAAUCCCCACCUCCACCAUCGCCUUCUCCUCCACCACCAUACUACUACAAAUCCCCACCUCCACCAUCGCCUUCUCCUCCACCACCAUACUACUACAAAUCCCCACCUCCACCAUCGCCUUCUCCUCCACCACCAUACUACUACAAAUCCCCACCUCCACCAUCGCCUUCUCCUCCCCCACCUUACUAUUACAAAUCCCCACCGCCACCUUCACCAUCUCCCCCACCACCCUACUACUAUAAAUCACCCCCACCACCUUCACCAUCUCCUCCACCACCAUACUACUACAAAUCACCCCCACCGCCAUAUGAACACAAGACUAAACCAUACUAUUACAAGUCUCCUCCACCACCAUAUGAACACAAGACUAAACCAUACUAUUACAAGUCCCCACCACCACCUUCACCAUCUCCUCCACCACCAUACUAUUACAAGUCCCCACCACCACCUUCACCGUCUCCACCCCCACCAUACUACUACAAAUCACCUCCUCCUCCAUCACCUAUUCCCCAUACACCUUACUACUACAAGUCCCCACCACCACCUAAGGUUCUUCCACCACCAUACUAUUACAACUCUCCUCCUCCACCUGUUGUGUAUCAUCACCCUCAUCCCUACCACCAUGCAUUGAUCGUGAAGGUAGUGGGUAACGUCUACAGCUUCAGAUGUUAUGACUGGGAGUAUCCUGAAAAGUCUCAUAACAAGAAACACCUCAAAGGUACAUCACAUUACAUUUCUCAAUUCUUUCAUUUUUAUAGAUUUUAUGUACAUCACUAUUGGCUCGUAGUUUCUCAAUACCAUUACAACUAAACUGCAAGUUUCAGUAAUGAGAUUCAUAUAGACAUGUUUUUAUUAACAUCUUUGUUUCUUAGAAAUUAUACAAACACUUAAUUUAGGUUUCUCCAUGUCCAAUAAAGUAAACAAUUGAUAUAUCAAAUUAACAUAUAUGAUAUAUCAUUUACCUCAUUAAAAUUUAAUAAUCCUGCCUAAUAUAAAGAUUCGGUUUGAAAAUGAUAGUUUAGUGAGCUUCUUUAUAAUAACACUCUCCAAUAUAUUAUGUUUUAAAAACAAUUAUAUUUCUAUUUGUCUAAAUUCAAAUUUGUUAUGGGACAGGUGCUGUUGUUGAAGUGACAUGCAAAGCCGGGAGCAAAAUCAUCAAGGCUUACGGUAAAACUAAGAUCAAUGGAAAGUAUGCCAUCACAGUUAAGGACUUUGACUAUGUCAAAUAUGGUUCAACAGUGUGCAAGGCUGCCCUUUAUGCUCCACCUAAGGGUUCACCCUUCAACAUACCUACAAAGCUAAACCAAGGAACAAACUUGUACUUGAAAUCCAAAGACAAGUACGAGGUUGUGCUCAAGGCUAAGCCAUUUGCUUAUGCUUCAAAGAAACAUUUCAAAGAAUGUGAGAAGUCCAAGCCUUCACCAACUCCUUACUACUACAAAUCACCUCCACCUCCCUCACCAGUUUACAAGUAUAACUCACCACCUCCACCCGUCCAUUAUUACUCACCUCCAUAUUACUACAAGUCACCUCCUCCCCCCGUGAAAGCGGCACCAACUCCUUACUACUACAAAUCACCUCCACCUCCCGCACCAGUUUACAAGUACAACUCCCCACCUCCGCCAGUCCAUUACUAUUCACCUCCAUACACCUAUAAGUCACCUCCUCCUCCUGUGAAAGCAGCACCAACUCCUUACUACUACAAAUCACCUCCACCUCCCGCACCGGUUUACAAGUACAACUCACCACCUCCACCGGUCCAUUAUUAUUCUCCACCAUACUACUACAAGUCACCACCCCCACCAUCUCCAUCACCUCCUCCACCAUACUAUUUCAAAUACUAUUACAAGUCCCCACCUCCACCAUCACCAUCCCCUCCUCCACCUUAUUAUUACAAAUCUCCUCCUCCACCAAAACAAAUUUCACACCCUCCAUACUACUAUAAGUCACCACCCCCACCAUCACCAUCACCUCCUCCACCAUACUAUUAUAAGUCUCCACCUCCACCAUCACCAUCUCCCCCACCACCUUAUUAUUAUAAGUCACCACCCCCACCAUCCCCGUCCCCUCCUCCACCAUACUACUACAAGUCUCCACCUCCACCUAAAGAAAUAUCACAUCCUCCAUAUAACUAUAAGUCACCACCCCCACCAUCACCAUCCCCUCCCCCUCCAUACUAUUACAAAUCUCCUCCACCACCAUCACCAUCACCACCACCUCCCUACUAUUACAAAUCACCUCCACCACCAUCACCAUCACCUCCCCCUCCAUACUAUUACAAAUCUCCUCCACCACCAUCACCAUCACCACCACCUCCUUACUAUUACAAAUCACCUCCACCACCAUCCCCAUCACCACCACCUCCAUACUACUACAAAAGUCCCCCUCCACCAUCUCCAUCUCCUCCAUCCCCAUAUUACUACAAAUCUCCACCACCACCAUCACCAUCCCCACCCCCUCCCUACUAUUACAAAUCACCUCCACCUCCCUCACCAUCACCGCCACCUCCUUACUAUUACAAAUCUCCCCCACCUCCAUCUCCAUCUCCACCACCUCCUUAUCACUAUCAAAGUCCUCCUCCCCCAUCUCCCAUUUCUCAUCCUCCCAACUACUACAAAUCCCCUCCACCACCAUCGCCAUCUCCUCCACCUCCAUACCAUUACGUGAGUCCUCCCCCACCAGUAAAGUCACCUCCACCACCAGCUUACAUCUAUGCUUCUCCACCACCACCAAUCUACAACUAGCCUCACAACACCAAAUCACCAUUGGUGAUAAAUUAUGUAAGUUUACCAUUAUUGCAAUCAUAACACUUGCAUCUUUUCCCACCCAUACACACACAUAUCACAUGUUUAAAUUUUAUGUACUAAUCAACAAAAACUCUUAUUUGUUUUCAGGUUCUAGUUUUCAUCAAGGAAUAAAGUCGUCCAUUUGGAGCAAAGUGAAACAACUAGCUCUCUGUCCAAAUUAUUUGAUGGCCAUCUUGCACUUCCUAAUCUUAUUGUGUUCAAGUGACUGGCUAAUCAAAAUGUGGAAGCGAGAUUAAUUUAUUUAUUAUCUCUUUGAUUUAUAUGUGCAUAGAUUGAUAUUUCCCUGUAUGAUAACUUUAUUUUUAUUGAGGAUUUUUUGUAUUGUACCCUGUUGUGUUUGUUAAAAUAAGUAUUAUCAAUGAAGAAUUACCUUCAAUUUCUUUCCACCUAAUUAGUUCUUGUUUCUUUUAAACAACUAUCAAGCAUGUCAGCAAGGCAAAGCAUACCACUACCACCAUAUCACCAUAAAAUGCAUCAUUAUUCAUUGCAUAUGAGAUAAAUAUAUGCAAACUAUAUCUAAUUAUUAAGAGGGGGAAAAAACUAAUGUACAGAAAAUGUACCUCAAGGCUUCAGGAUAGGUGUUAGAAACCCAAGCUUUUAAUAGCUCUCUCCAAGAAUCCUCGUUUCUACAACUUAAGUUCCUAUAUUAAUCAAUUAUAAUAUAUGAGAAACUUAUGUUGUCGACCAACAAUACAGGUGACUCAAAAAAAUAUUAUAUUUUAAAAGUCAAACCUUGAGCUAUACACAUGUAAGCAUCAUCAAUAUAAGUUUCACCAUUGUUCAUGUGUAUUAUUCCAUAAAUUUUGGCUCAGUUGAGGUUACUACACUGGUUUUCUUCCUAUUGUAUCAUAUAUUUAAAUACUAUGGUGCGUUUGGAUAAACAGCUUAUGUCACAAGCACUUAUCAUGAUAAGCGCUUUUGUAUAAACUUGCAUGAGUUAUUUUCAUAUCAAAAGAUAAACAAGAACAUUAAAUUGUUUUUGUAUAUUACUUAAGUUGUUUUCAUAAGCUAUGUUGAAGAACUAAUGAAAAUUAGCUGAAAAAAGCUUAUGCUGUUUUCAUGAAUUCUCCCUAACAGUCUCACAAUAUUUAUGUCAGUAUAUAAUCAAAUAAGUCAAUCCAAACAGGCCCCACGUCUUCUAUAUUAGACCAUAUGACAAUUUCUUUUCGGUUUAUUCUCAUUAAAAGUUAAAAAUGGUGUAUUUGAAUCCUAUAAUUCUUUGUCAUACAAGUGCAUUCAAAUACAAUUUGAAGCCAUGGUGAAAGUGUUUAAUUUGCAGAGCUCACCAACAUAAUCUAACGUAUAUUUGGAUUGACUUAUUUGAACUUAUCUACUAGCACAAAUACUUGUGAGAUUGUUUACGAAAGUUUAUGGAAAAAACUUACAACACACACAUAAGUUGUUUUCAGCUUAUUUCCAUAAACUCUUCAAAAUAGCUUAUGAAACAACUUAUAUGAUAAGAGCUUAUUCUAUAAGCGCUUAAUUAAGUUUUAAUCCAUUCUUCUUCUACCUUCAUCUUCAGUUAACAAAACGAAUACAAUUUCUGAAAAUUCAAAGUUCAAACACCAAAAAAUACCUAAAAUGAAAAAUUGUUGAAUGAAAGCGCAAAUAGAACCUGGCAAUGCGUUCGAGAAGCACGUGGAGGAGGUGGCGUGGCAGAAGAAUGUGUGGAUUUCAUCGGAGAAUUUCAGUUCUGCUCGCGCCAUUUAAGAAAUUUUGUAAACUUAAAGUUUAGUUUAAGUUUACCCCUCUUUUUUUUUCAUUUUAAAGGAGUUUACCCUACAAAUUUUUGUAUGUUUUUGCCACGUUUACAAAUGAUUUAAUAUGUUUUUAUCCUAUAUAUAUUUAGGGAUGUAAAUGGAUAUUAUGAUGCGGAUAGUGUAAUAUUUGUGUCUGUUCCAUUGGAUAAAUAUGAAAUCUGUACCAUAUUCAUAUCGUACGGAUAUCUGUUUAGCGGGUAAUCCACAGAUUUUGAGAUAUUUGAGUGUUUAUAGAUAUAUUCAUUGAUAACAUUUAUAAAAAUAAAAUAAAAAAUUUGUUUAAUUCUUUUUAGAGACAAAGGUUCUUCAUAUGCAUUUUCUUUUCUUUUUAACAAAACAUAAUAUUCAUACAUUAUAAUAACAACAAAGAUCAUUGACUCAACAAAAACAUAAAUAAAGUUGCUUACAUUUAAUAAAAAUAAAGUUAUUUGAUUUAACAAAAACAAAGCUCUUGCAUCAACAAUCCCAACCACUUUCACUUCCUUUUAAAAGAGUGUAAUAACAAAUAACACUCACAAUACAUAAGGUUUUUUUUUAGGAAGUUGAAUGAUAUUAAGGUUAUUUAUGUAAUUUACUCGGUUUAAUAGUCGGUAUGGAUAUCCACGGGUGUGGAUACCGUUAAAUCCGCAUCCAUAUCCAUUAAUUAGCAGGUAGUUAAAAAAUUCAUUUAUUUUAUCCAUUGAUAUCCAUUAAGGUAUCCGCUCCGUGCCCGUGACGGAUUAUAUCCGCGGAUAUUCACGGGUGCGAAUUUUUUUGUCAUCCCUAUAUAUAUAUAUUAGUCUUAAACUUGACUAUUUUUUAUUAUCAUUUGGUGCUAUAAUUAAAAAAAAAAAAAAAAUAUUGUUCGUCUGAGCCAUUUAGCUACAGGCUAUUACUUUUCUCAUUCUACAUGUUUCUCGCUUGUCCUAUUUUUUUUUUAAUACUUUUUGCUCGAAUUCUAAAAUCUAAACUCCUAUAGGGAUUUUUGGAUUCUAUAAUCCAAAACACGUUGAAACCCAAAAAUAAAAUAAAAAACUAUGUAAUUGAAAUCAAAGAUCUCUACUGCUAAUGCACGUUUUCCACAAAAACUACAAAGUAAUUUCAAAGUAAUUUCACAAAAACUAUCGUAUGAAUAGACAGCAAUGAGCAUGAUAUCAUAAAUAACUCAAAACUUUAUAAAAAUAAAAAUAAAAAAAUGAAUAAGAAGAUGUGAAGAAUGAAUGUAAACGUUGGAGGAUACAAAGCUAUUUAUAGACAUAAAAUGUUCCUAGACUCUAAAGUGGGUCAAAGAAAACAUGAAUAACAUUUACAACUUAAUUAACACAUCACAGAUCAUUCAAACCUUUGGUGUAACAUCAUCGUAUGUAGUCUGGCACAGUUUGGAUUAUACAAUCUGAACAUUUCAUAAGCAGUUUGGAUUAUAUAAUUUGAACUAUCCCAGACUGUGUUUCAGCUUGAUGUUUGGAGGGUUUUGUAUGGUGGAUAACACAAAAAAAUGACAUAAUUCAACAACGUAAAAAAUAUAAUAAGAUAAGUGAUGAUGAAAGGGAAGCCGCACCAAGAGGUGUUUUUGAAUUCGAUCCAGUUGUCCUAUCAACUGACAUAUAUUUCUAUUGGCAUGGCAGCAAGAUCAAGUUUCAAAACGACCUUUUUGUGUUCAUAUCCGCAAAAUAAUGAUGAAAGGCAAGGUAUUCCAAGAAGUGUUUUUUAACUUGAUCUCGCUACCUUGUCAACUAACAUAUUUCUAUAGACAGUGCAGCAAGAUCAAAUUUAUAACAACCUCUAGGUGUUCAUAUCCGCUAAGUAAUUUUUCGUAGUUCUUUAUUGUGAUCUACAAAAAAAAAAAAAAAAAAGAUCUAUUUAUAUAAGUUUAUGUGCGUCGCGAACCAGAUAAAUUUUCGAUGCAUUGUGGACCAAAAAAAAAUUCUAAUUCGGACUAAACAAGAUGAAUUUUCCUUCACCCUAGAAAGUAAAAGUUUUGACAAACACAAGACUGAUUAUACAUUAAAUACAACAAUCAGCCAAACUAAACAUAUUAGAUCACAAAUCUUUCAAACUAACUUCUUCAUUGGAUUCCUCCAAGAGAGCCUUGAUUUAUUUGUAUGUUCUAGGCCGAAUCAAUUUUUUUUAAUAUCUUUGAAAGGGCCCGACCAAGAAAACAUCCAACUCAAUUGGUCAUUUAAUACCGUACUGACCAAAUAUUAAAACAUUAUUCUCUUAUCGCAUUGUUCCUGAGUUUAAUCUAGGUAAACUAGAUGCUUUCAUCUUAGCCAAUCGAUGGACUUUGAUGCUCAACAUUGUCCAUCCUUCUUGUGUCUGUGUUGUUGAGUCGACGGUUGAUUUAGUCCAGCUAAUAUUGGACUUUCCCCCAUUGUAGUAAACUACAGUUAGUUUGGUGUCAGAUCAAUGAUUGAAGUGUUCAUGAUUAUUUGGUGUGGUUUAUAGCAAAUGAAAACAAGCACACCAAUUUAUAGAAGUUUAUGUGCGCCGCGGACUACAAUAACUAUUGGUGCAAUGAAGACCAUAGAAAAAGCAUGUACUUGGCUGAUUUGGAUUAUAUAAUUUACAUUGUCCCUCACCCUACAAAGUACAAAUUUCAACACAAUAUUGAACCAAUUCGGAUUAUAGAAUCCAAUCAUUUAUGAGAUAAUUUCGGAUUAUAUAAUUAAAACUAGUUCACAAUGUGAACCGCAGCUUGGUCAGCAAGACUAACUCAUUAAAAAUGUUUUUUAAGUUGGUGAACGACGCUUGACUGGUCAGCAAGACUUGAAAACAAUUUUCGUACCAUGCAUUAAUGGACCAUUACCCUCUAUGAAAUGUACUUCACAAAUUCUCCUUCCGAAUACCCACUAAUACAUCACAAAUUCUUAUUUCAUCUCACAUUCUCUCGUUCUUUUUACUUCUACAAUGUGCUUCCAUAGUUUGUGUUUCAUACAAAAAUGUUACUCUAAUAUUUUAUGGAUUGUAUGAAUGGUCAAAAGGCAAAAAUUGGCACCAUCUGUUUGGAUGUAAGGUUGAUCAUCAAAGUCUAAUCCACUAAGAGAGGAAACAAACCUUACCCCAACCUCAUUCCCCAUUCAUCUUCUUGCACCGCAUGUUUAAAUGAUACUCCCUCCGGUCCUAUUUAUAAGAGAAAGUUAGGUCAACAAAAGUUGAUGUAUCUGAACUGAAUUUUUAACCGGAUACAUCAACUUUUGUUGACCCAAAUUUCUCUUAUAAAUAGGACCGGAGGGAGUAUUUGUACAACCAUUUUGGUACAACUUUUGUACAACUUUCUCUCUCAUACUCACAUUAUGUUUUUAUUCUCUCUCUUACUUUUUUUCUCUCCAUUGUGGUUGACCAAUAAGAAGGGAGAAUAUCAAGGUUGUCACAAAAAUUGUAACAAAAGAGUUGUUCAAAUAUCAUUACUCUUAUCAUUAUGUGUUAAAUAAUUUUGUGUAAUAAGCUUCAAUGACAAUGUAAAUAUACAAUAAAAGAUAUAAAUUAUUCAUAAAAUGAAAAUUUUAUUCAUUUAUCUUUUUAUAUUUUUGUCUCUUUUAGUUUCAGUCAUUUUCAAUUAUGCAUUCUUAAUAUUAUGUCAAUGUUGAUCAAUAAUUAUUGGCAAAAGAAGUUUUCAUGUUAUAGAAUAUGAAAAUCCCUGGUACCAAAAAAAAAAAAAAUCUGAAAAUCCCUCUAUAGGAUUUCAGAUUUUAGAAUCCGACCAAAUGGUAUUUUGAAGAGAGAAAAAUAGUGUGUCUAAGUAACUCAUGUUGAGAAAAGUAAUAGCCUUAAUUAUGUCUCCGAUAAACAUUUUAUUCCCUUCCGUUAAUCAGUUAAUCCCAAAUGUCUAAGGUGAACCAAUAUUAUAGGUGGUCUACCAUAAACCUCAUAACAAUUUUAAGGUCAAAUACCACUUUUGGUCAUUUUAGUUUGACAGAAUUCUCAAGUUAGUCAUUUAAGUUUCGAAAGUUUCAAUUAGGUCCUUUUAGUUUGACAGAAUUCCCAAGUUAAUCCUUUAAGUCAUAAAAUUCAGGGGAGCAAAGUAGAUACUCCAGUUUUCAGAGGCGGAGACAUAGUCAUGUCAAAAGCAUCCCACAUCCUAUUACCACCUACUUGAACUCAUCAAGCUUGGUAUGGACCAUUCACAGUAACAUGUGUAUGUAGUCUCGUGGAGAUCUGGGACAAUAUCAAAUGGCAUGCUAAGGUGAAUCGACACAAACUGAAGCAUGUUAAAGAUUGCAUCCGGAAAAUGAAAGUUGAAGAAGAUGAACCUGCUUUGAAGAGGUUCAAGGGCACAACAUAGACUUAUUCUCCAUGUUCAAGAUGUAAAACACGCAUUGAACGAGAGACAACCCAUUAAUUUAUUUUCUCCGUUAUUUGUCUUGUGUCAUUUUUGCUCGAAUUUUUUGCCGUCAAUUCUUUAUGAAUUAUCAGUCAUAUUAUAUUACACACUAGACAAUUUUUUUGGUACCUUGAGCCUUUUCAAUCCGCCCUUAUCAUCAUUAUAUCCUUUGCUAAAUCCCUUUGAGCUUCCAUGCAUUAUUUCUUUUGUUUUUUUUAUUAAGUAACAAAUCAUGUCACAAGUUUGAACUUUUAAUGCCAUCUAUUUGAUUUCUUUUAUAGUUAGAUAGAAUAUUUUUAAGAACUUGGUAUGAUUUGAAUAUAUGUUAGGGUUAUAAGGGAGAAAUGUAAUGGCAAAGAGGAAGAGCAAGAAAAGAGAUGAAAGAUGAAGGGACAUUAGGCAGACUCAAUCACGGUAGUUAGAAUGAUUGCCUUCUGUUUUGCAGUAAUUUGCAUGAGCUUCACUUUUCAAGUAGAGUAAAAAAAACAGGAAUAGAUAGACACAUUUCUUCUAAGUUUGAGUAGUGAGUGAUAACACUUCUAUGUAAUCCCUAAAAAAAAACACUUCUAUGUAAAAAAAUCACAUGGGAAAUCCAUUCCUAUAGUACACGUAAUUUUGAUCUGGAAGGUUGACUUUUCAACAAAAUAACCUAAAAUAAUUUGUUCAUAACAUAAUAGAGGAAUCUAGAAGUGUUCGCGGUGCGGUUUGAUUCGGUUUUGAGCAAAAAAGUCAUCCAAACCGCGCGAUAAAAAAACAUGUGGUUUGGUUCGGUUGAUUUUUAAAAAAUCAUCCAAACCAAACCAAACUAAACCAAUACGGUUUGGAUUGGUUCGGUUUGUGCGGUUUAUCGCGAGAUAAAAAAAAAAUAUUACAUUAACUCUAAUAUUUCCAAAUUGUUACAAAAUAAACAUAGAACGUUUUUUUAUUUAUUUUUAUAUGAUAAAAUAUUAGGUAAAACUCAUAUCAAAAUAGGUAAAAUUAAGAAGAAUUUAUAAGCAUGAAACAAAUUAUUGGAAAGUAAAGGAAACAAAUUUAAGUAAUAUUCAUUAUUCUUGCAGCUAUGUAAUUGGGCUAGAAACAUUUUAUUUUGAUGUUUAUAUCGAACAUGAUGGUGCAACAAUGGAAAAAUCAAAUCAAAAAAGAUUAUUCUUGAGCUAUGUAAUUGAGCUAGUACAUAUUUAAGUAAUAUUCAUUAUUCUUGCGGUUUGGUUUGGUUUGAUUCGGUUGCUGAGAUGCAAACCGCAAAUCAAACCAAACUGUAUGUUUUAGUGCAAAAGUCAUCUGAAUUCAUCCGAAAUCAAGUACGAUUUUUUACGAUUUUGAAUUGGUUUAAUUUGCCGUUUUUCUAUUGGAUUGGUUCGGUUUGAACGAUCUGCAUGAAUUCUUCUAGUUGAUUGUUGGACUAUUUUUAAUUGGCAAAGGCUUAGUUGUCCAUUUAUAAAUAUAAAUACUAUUAUUACAUUAUCCAAUCCAAUAGCACCAAAACCAAUAUAAUAAUGGUAAUUUGCAAUUUUGCACGUUUCAUUCAUUUAUUGGUGCCUUAAUUUUGGGUUACAGACCGACAUUGAUCAGUUGCUAAAAAACCACUGCAUCCUUAUUUUUUACGAGGUAGAUGCAUCGGACAAAUAAACCGACAAACAAAGCUAUUCAGAAAGUGCUCAGAAAUUUUUUGUGCCCCAACAGAAAAUAUUAAGAAAGUCUUGCUACACAGUGUCUUGUAUACAAGUGAAAUAUGUGUGGUAUUAUGCACAAGUUUAUUUUUACAAGUUGAUAUAAGAAUCUAAGUAUAUUUUUAUGGAAAAUUAAUGCUAACAAAUACUUUCAAAGCAUUGUUUAAGCAAUCAAUAUUAGUAACUUUUGCAUAGAAAUAUGUGUGAUUAUUAUUUUUUCAUAUGUUUUAUAUGUUUUCAAGAAAAUAUUUUUAUUUAUGGUUUUUUUAAAUAGUGUCCUUAGGUACUUGUUAGCAAAAUCUUAUUUAUAUAAGUUGAUCUAAGAAUCUCAUUAUUGUAUCGAGUGAGAUACGGCCAUACCGAAGCUUAUGGAUUCCAUAGUGGAAAAAUAACUUUUCAUCAGUGCAAUACUAUUUUAGUUGUAGAAUUUCUUUUCUUGUGUGUCCUAUUUCAGAUUUUAAAAUCCAAACAAUCGAAGGUUUAUGAAGGUUUUUCGAACAUUUUCGCACUGUUUGAAUUAUAUGAUCUGAAAUGUCAUAGAACAUGCGAGAAGCAAGUUGAAUGAAAUAAAAAACUCCUGCUCAAUAGAAUUAUUUUACUUGGUUAUUGUUUGAAUUUUAUUCUCCUUCAAAGACGGCAAUGUGCAAUUGUGCAUUUCAUCCGGAGAGUGGCAACAUCUCAUGCAUGUUCAUCUCAUAUAACUGAGAAGUCACAUGGCUUGGAAAAUCUUAAACCGAGAAAAACAAAAGGAGUAAAAGUAAUAAUAGUGAACCAAAGUGAAGAUGAACUUGUAGUCUAUCAAAAGAAGAUGAACUUGUUCGUCUUGGCAUAGUAACUCAUUUUUAUUCCUUGUUACCUAUGAAACACGGACAAUAGAUACAACACGGACACCAAUACGUUAAUACCGUUAAUAAUAUAAAAAAAUAGGUACAUUGAAUAAUUAAUGUAUUUGACCUAUAAAUGUGACCAGAUAUAUUAAUUAUUCAAUGUAUCUAAAAAGUUGGUUUUUGUUUAUAAAUAUGAUCAUAUGGAGUACUACUUUAGUGUAAUUUUAUGUAUUGGUACUGCGAGACAUCUAAUCUAAAGAGUGUCAAUGUUUUCACACAUAUUACUCACCAAAGUGCACACAUUAUAUGCAUUUAGGUAAACUGAGUUCAUCCAAAAUUGUAACCGCACAAACAGAGGGCCGCUAGGAAAUAUGAGGUAAAUUUGGAUUAUUCUUUAUCAAAAGCUUAUGACCAAAGAAAAACUAUACAAAAACUAAUGUUCAAAAAGUACAUAAAGUAAUAAUGCAAAGUCAAUGUGUAUAUAUAUUUCACCAUUAAAUAAAAGGGGAAAAAAAUCUCCAUACACAGCUUGCAAUAGCUACCAUCAUGGCCUAAAGCAAAUAUCAUAUGACCACUAAAAAACAAUAGAAAAUAAACAAAUAAAAAGAGAAAAACAAAAGAGAAAAUGGUAUAAAGAAAUCAUGUAGUAGUUAGUUUUUUCUCAAGAUGGGCAACUCAGCAGGGCUGCUAGGAGGAAAUUACAAAAGAACAUGACACUUAACUUCUCUAAUCAUUCAAAAUUUGUCAAGAUGCUGAUUAUAUAUUUUAAUUAGUAGUUAGAGAUUGUUAUAGUAACGUGUUCUAGCCAUCAAGAAUAAAACAAUGUCAUGGAAAAGAAGUGGCCUACUAGAAGAAUUAAUUUAAAGCAUUUACACCAAAAUAAAAACAAAUUGAAUAUUGGAAUUGGUCCUUCAUGAUAGCUUCCCCUUAACAACUAACUCUAACUAUAAAUACUGAAUCUUGCAUGCAACAUUUCAUAGUAAACACUAAGACCAAAACCUCUUCUUUCUAUCCAUGACUGCUAGGGCUAGUUGCCCCAAAAUGGGGCAUUUUUGGCCACAAAUGGCAAUGGCAUUGGCCAUUGUUUUGAUUUCUACUACUAUGGUUUCUGCUUCUGAUAGCUACAUUUACUCUUCGCCUCCACCACCUUAUGAGUACAAGUCCCCACCACCGCCGUCUCCCUCACCACCUCCUCCUUAUGUGUAUAAGUCACCACCUCCCCCAUCCUCGUCACCCCCACCACCAUAUGAGCACAAGGCUCCAUCUUAUGAGUACAAGUCACCACCACCACCAACUUCUUCACCACCACCUCCUUAUGUAUACAAGUCACCACCACCACCAUCUCCUUCACCGUCACCUCCUUAUGUGUACAAGUCACCACCACCUCCAUCCCCAUCACCCCCACCUCCUUACGUGUACAAGUCACCACCACCACCCUCGCCUUCCCCGCCCCCACCAUACUAUUACAAGUCUCCUCCACCACCCUCGCCUUCCCCACCGCCACCAUACUAUUACAAGAGUCCUCCACCACCCUCUCCUUCACCUCCACCUCCUUACUACUAUAAAUCGCCUCCACCACCCUCACCUUCCCCUCCCCCACCAUACUAUUACAAGUCUCCUCCACCACCAUCUCCCUCACCACCUCCUCCAUAUUACUACAAGUCUCCCACACCACCUUCACCCUCCUCUCCACCCCCAUAUAUACACAAGGAUCCACCAUACUAUUACAAGUCCCCACCACCCCCUUCACCAUCUCCUCCACCACCAUACUACUAUAAAUCUCCCCCACCACCCUCACCCUCUCCACCCCCACCUUACUAUUACAAGUCUCCUCCACCACCUUCACCAUCUCCUCCACCACCAUACUAUUACAAAUCUCCUCCUCCUCCAUCUCCUAUUCCCCAUACACCUUACUAUUACAAAUCUCCCCCACCACCUUCACCAUCUCCUCCACCACCAUACUAUUACAAAUCUCCUCCUCCUCCAUCUCCUAUUCCCCGUACACCUUACUAUUACAAAUCUCCCCCACCACCUUCACCAUCUCCUCCACCACCAUACUACUACAAAUCCCCUCCUCAUCCAU